AUUGAACGCUGGCGGAAUGCUUUACACAUGCAAGUCGAGCGGCAGCGCGGGGGCAACCCUGGCGGCGAGCGGCGAACGGGUGAGUAAUACAUCGGAACGUGUCCUUCAAGUGGGGAGUAGCUCGGCGAAAGCCGGAUUAAUACCGCAUAAGCUCUGAGGAGGAAAGACGGGGGACGUGGUAACGGCCUCGCGCUGUUGGAGCGGCCGAUGUCGGAUUAGCUAGUUGGUGGGGU
rnacentral:rRNA from 1 species